UCUACAUAUCAGACAAUCGCUAUUGUAAGCGGAAGCUUGCAAAUAGAGGAAAGUCCGAGCACUGCCCAUUCGCAAGAAUAGGAGCAGGGUAGCGGGUAAUGCCCGUCCACCGCGAGGUGCGAGGUGAGAACAGUGACGAAUCCCUUUAGUGGGAGUGAAACGGCAAAAUCCUUACUUCAGUGCAAGGCCGUGCCUAUGCAAAUAGGAGUGCCGCUUGAGGUUUAUCGUAAGAUAAAUCCCAGAUAAAUGAUUGUCGCCAAUUAUUAUAUUCGAAAGGAUAUGAAUGAUUGGUACAGAACUCGGCUUAUCGAUAUGUCGCAUCA
rnacentral:RNase_P_RNA from 1 species